GACGAACGCUGGCGGCGUGCUUAACACAUGCAAGUCGAACGGAAAGGCCCUGCUUGCAGGGUACUCGAGUGGCGAACGGGUGAGUAACACGUGGGUGAUCUGCCCUGCACUUCGGGUUAGGCUUGGUCAACUGGGCCUAACUCCUGACAGGAGCCAUCUUUAGCGGGGUGGUUGGAUAGUUUUUUCGGUGUAGGAUGAGGUUGCGGCCUAUCAGCUUGUUGGUGGGGUAAUGGCCUACCAAGGCGGCGAGGGGUAGCCGGCCUGAGGGGGUGUACGGCCACAUUGGAACUGUACGGCGGCCAGCAGUAGGACAGGUGGCGGCAGGGGGGAAUACUGGACGAUGGAAGGCAGCCUGAUGGAGCAAGGCCGCGUGAGCGUAGAAGGCUGUUGUGAGGUAAGCACAAUUGGCUAAGGACGAAUGUUUGUUGUGACGGUACCUAGACAGGAAGCACCGGCUAACUACGUG
rnacentral:rRNA from 1 species